UGCUCAUUGGUCCAUACGAUCUUAUGCUAUGCAUAUGCAGUUAUGUCAAUUUGUGUGCGAUAGCCCUUAACCUGUACAUGCAUGUACUGAAAAUCUGAAGUUGUGAAACAUUUGAUUAGUUUGCACGUAUAAAAUAUGCCGAAAGUAAAGUGUGCUGUUAUAAAUUGCACUAGUAGUAUUGUGAAAGGAGAAAAUAAAAUAUCCUUCUUUAAGUUUCCCAUGAAUAUAUCCAAAUUAUUAGAAAAAUGGAUAGCGGCUACAAAUAGAGCAAAUUGGGCACCAACAUCAUCAAGCAGAAUUUGCUAGUUGCAUUUUACUAGUAAUGACUUUUAAAAAAGCACAACUAAAGUGGUAAGAUUGAAAGCAGAUGCAAUACCAACACUAAACUUAAACAUUGGUAAUUGUGAUACAGAUAUAUUCUAUAACAGAAAAUAUGGAAUGUACAAAUGUAUUAAGUGUACUUGAAAAUAAAAGUGCCCAAAUAGACUUAAGAAAACUAAACCAAAUACAAAAACGUAAAGCCAUUGAUAUAUUAGAAAGUGUGAAAAUUAAAUGUCGUAAAGUGGAAGAUAAAAGUAAGGAGCUUAAAACUACAAUUCAAUCUUUGAAAAAAAGUUAUAAAAAGCAACUAAACAUUCAAGCAGACAUGUUUAGAACUCUAAUGGAAAAAGAAAAAAAUAUGUUACCAAAAAAACUGAGUAAAGAAAAAAAGAAAUUUUUAUUACUUAAGAAAAGAAAUAGUCGAAGGGAAGCAAAAAUUGAAAGUUUAAUAGAAGAGUUAAAAAAAAACCAGGUAGACUAAAUGAAGAAGCACAUGAUAUUGUCAGCUUAAGUUUAAAUAGUAUUUCUUCCAAAUUACAGUAGCGCUCAAAAGUCUUUUUACAAAUAGUGUUUUGUAAAGUAUUUUAUUAUUAAUAUUAAUAUUAAUAAUAAUAAUAUAUAUGUAUUAACCUUUAUAAUAUAAACUUUGCACAUAAUAUCACAUGUUAACAACAAAAUUAACUUAUCAAUUACUAAACGAAUAUAACAUAAACAAAACUUUACUUUAUCAUGGUUCAUAAGUGAUUUGACAUGUUAGUGUUUAACGACUAUGUAUUAAUGUUUUUAAAUAAAGUGAUAAACAUUUGUUAAA